AUUGCCAAAUUGCAUUGAUAAAAGAGGACAUUUGCAUGAGCUCUUGUACGCUGCUUUUACAUUUCACACUGACUCCCAUUGUAUCCGGGGCUCUUUUGUUCACGGCAAUAACAAGGAAACAGUGAUUCUUUCAAGAAGUGACUGCUGCAUGAUUAGUCUCUCACCCACCCACAACCCUCGCAGCUGUCAAUGAUGCUGUGAAGAGUAAACAGAUGCAGAUGAUUCAUUCCUGUUUGGUCGCGGGCAUGCCAGAGCCUAUCCCAGCUGACUUCGGGUGAAAGACGGACUACACCCUGAACUGACCAGUCAGUCACAGGGCAACACGCAAUCACAUUCACACCGCCACUGAUUGGGAACUGAACCCACGCUGCCUGCACUAGAGUCACUGAAGUCGUAGUUGUAAGAGGAAGGCCUCCCGUUGACCCGCAGCAGCAUCAGCAUCACCAGAUAAAAACAACAACGAAAACAACAACAGCUUUGGAUUGGAAUCGGCCCACGUUUCGACCUUAAGCGUCUCCUCCCUGCAAGAGGUCCGCUUGACGCAUCAGGCCGAAGCGCUUGUUGGCUUGUUUGUCGAGUGCUAAGGCAGUCGGACUGAAUGAGUCUGUGGAGAUCCAGUACCGGGUUACAUGAGAGCUGGUGAGUGGAAUGUCAGUCAGUAGAGUGCAGACCUCCUCCUAGGCCAAAGCCAGUCAAUCAGCAAGUUUUUUUAUUAGUUAUUUUUCAAAUAAACAAGAACAAAAUACAAAAAUUGUGUAAAACUACUCAACAUCUGAAGGCGCUUGAUAGCAUUGUAAACAGAUUGGGAACAGGAUGGUGUUUGCAACCUGAGUAACUGACUGUGUAAGAACUAUUGUACUAAUCGUUUUUCGACUGAUUUUUUUAUUUUUAUUUCAUUCUUCUA